GGUGUUCCACUUAUCUCUAUCAACUCAGGAAUAACAUAUCUUUUACUGCUUUCUACCUUGAGUGGUUUAUCUUGUAACUUCAAUAUCCAAUGAGCUACCCUCUGGCUAUGUACUCCUAAAUCAGAACAAUUGUGUAACAGUUUUAAAGGUGUGUGAGGGGUUUGUAAAAUUAGCUGUCCAAAUCCUACAAUGUGUUGUGUUGCUUCUAAAGCCCAACAUACAGCCAAAAGCUGUUUUACACAGGAAAACAUUCCCCUUUCCACUGGAGACAUGAUUUUAGAAAAAUAUCCCAGUAUUCGUAAGGAGCCAUGUUGCCUUUGCAUCAAAACUGCAAUUAAUGAAGAGACACCUGCGUAACAUUGAACAAUAUAUGGUACUGUUUCAAUGGGAGCAGCUAACACAGGCGCUUGUGUAAGAGCAUCUUUUAACAGGUUCCAACUCUUUUCAGCUUCCUCUGUCCAGAGUAGCUUAUCUGUAUUAGCACUAUCUUUUAGCAUAUUGUACAGGGGUUUUGCUAUUCCUGCCAUAUCAUAGAUGAAUUCUCUGCUAAAAUUUACCAAACCUAAAAAUUUCCUUAGAUCAGAC